UGUGCCUCCAUGUUCUCAUCUGUAAAAUGGGCUCUAAAACUCUACCUACUCGUAGUGCUGUUUAGGGAUUACUGGGUUAAUGCAAUUAAGGCGCUUGCAUCACACCUGGCAUACAAGAAGCCCUCCAGAUAUGAUAGAUAUAAUUGUCAUGAUCAUUAUUAUGCACUUAGCCGGCAAACAUUCGCAUAUCCGAGCGCUCACUCUGAGCGACUCUGUGCGUUGGGUUCGAGGGAGCAGGAGUGGACUGGGCGGACCUGCUCUGCCAGAGCGCACUUGUUGGCAAAUACACGAUGUUCACAGGGAGUAAUACGGCGAAGGGGAACGGGUGAUGUGACGGCGCGACUGGGGAAGAGUCAGUCUCUCCCCCGGUCUGCGUCUCCGUCUCCCCUUGGGUUAAAGAGGGUUUUUCAGGCAUUCUGGCACCAGGGCCGAAAGGAAGGAGCAAGGCGCGAGGUCUCCAAACGUGGGAGACGCUGGACGGCGCCCGCAUCUGGGGCCGGGGGCUCGAGGUUAACUGUGCGUCCCCGCCUCAGGGACACCUGGGGAGCGAAUUCACCUCGGCUCUGCAGCUGAGACCCACAGCGCGCCCAGAGGUCUCUCCCGCGCUUUCCGCCGGUCCCAGCCGGCCUUGCCACGAGGGCGUGGCUACCCUCAUUUUCUCCAGGGCCGGACCGUGACUCACCCAGGGAAGGUGUUGAUCCCAACCGACUCCGGGUACUGAAUUUGCCCCGCAACAGACGUUACCUCUCACUGUUCUGGGUACAAAGAUUUUAAAGCGACUGAAUGUCCCUGAUGGGUCAGGCCCUGGCCUUACCUCGUGCACUCUUCAGAACAAUCCUGAGUCUUUUUCUUUUUCUUUUUUCUUUUUUUUUUUCAGAUUUUACGGUUGGUGAGAGUGCUUGCUCAGUUAUCCCCGCAACCUGUCCACUCUAGAGUCAGCCCUGUGUCCAUCUCGGCAGGAAAGCAGAAGAACCCAAUGCAAGGGUGGGGGAGGGGGCAAGGCCAGACCAGGCACACUGAGCAGGGCAGAGGUCACCCCUGCUCCUCCUUCAUGACUCCCCCUCCGGAUUUCAAGGGCCCUUGUCACACAGAACACCCCAGAAUGAAGCCGCUGCCUUUGAAUGGAAGCUGGUGGUGCGCACGACACUGGCCCAUGGCCAACAGUCUCUGUUCCUCCGUCCAGUCUCUAGAAUCCAGAGAAAUGUUAUGAAACACAGACUUCAUUCAUUCAAUAGAUGUUUUUUGUAGACCACUCUGAGGCAGACCCUGAACUGGGCAUGAGAAUGUGAACAAAACCAACACUACCUGAUGCAUGGAGAGAGAAUACCAGAGAGAACACAGCUCAGAAGUCCAGGAAUCCUGCCUCCAGGGUCCACCUGCCAGGGCUUCAGCCAUACAGAUGGGCCCACACCAGGCUAACUCCAGAUCAAGAGCCUGAUCAUGGCCCGUUCCAGCUCAGGCCACGGCCUGGAAGCCUCCCCCUUGGUCCACAGAGGGGUCUCAAAGUUUCACCUUCAGAGCCCUAGGCAGCUUUCCAUAUGAAAGGCCCACGUUCUGUGGGAACAGGCUAAGG
rnacentral:lncRNA from 1 species